UAACUCGUUUUCGAUCGGAAA
ensembl:piRNA 21ur-3576 ncRNA